UUCCCUUUUGUGAAGAAGCAGGGCAUUUAGAAUCCAAAGCCGGGAGCUGGGGUUCUCAUGCUAGAGGGUGUCUUUGGUUCCAGGACUGCUCAGUGCUCCACGCUGAAAACUCAGUCCAGGAGGAGAAGGACCUGUGAUAUUUGGCUUUCCCAGGAAACUCCUACAUUCCUUCUCCAGAUCAAAUCUAAAAACAGGUUUGUAGAAUAUUCACUCCAGCUCUAAGAGAUGGCAGAAGGUGCCAGGAGUCCAUUGCCAGGAACACACUUUCCUCAGUCUCGUAAAUGAACCUGCACAGAUGGCAAAGCUAAGCAAAGGACACUGCAAGACAGUGGGCAAUGCGGUUCAAAGACGAAGGUGAAAGAUGUAUUUGCUUUCCUGUUUUUCUACUGAAGCAGCAACUGGGACAAGGAAGGAAAUGCUGCCCAAAAGUGAGCCCAGCUAGAAGACAAAUGGCAACAUUUGAAGAUGGAGCCCAGGGGUGGUCCCAUGGCUGCCAUCCUGCUCUCCCUCCUGGGGAGACAGUUGUGCAGCAGCCCAUCUCGGAGAGGGCACUGGACCAGUGACAGCAAUGAGAGCCUUCAAGGAGGGCUCUGGCACAGGGAAGCUCAGUUCAUCUGACUUUCAUUAGGGGCCACAGGCUUGUGUGGCACAAACAGGUGCCAUUAGUUAGGUACAACCAGAUGUUUUUGAUGGUGCUUGAGAUGAACCAUGAGCCUCUACAAAGACAGGUUGGCCACUUCUGAUGAAAACUCCACCCUCUAGCCAAGGAUGAUGCUACUCCCAUGCAGGUCCCCAAUGUGGGGGACACUGGAAAUAGCAACCAGGGUUCACCUUCUGCUCAACCAAACUUUAAUCAGACAAAAGCAGACAGCAGCAGCUGAGGAGACACAAGGAUUUUUGCAUCUAUGCGGUAACAGGUAUUGUGGAAUUAUAUGGAAAGCCAUCUAUUUGUCCAUAAUCCAAUACAGAACAAAUUAAAAUACUGCCAAUAAGCCCACUAAAACAAACAUUAUGUAAGAUGAAAACAGGGAGAAUUUCAAAGAAACAAUGUCACAUAAUUUCCAGUGUCCUUUAUUCAUUUAACACUACUGGUGUGUUGUUUGCUUUUUUUAAAAAAAAUCCAAUGCCUACUCUGCCUGUACUUUUACCACAUGCUGUGGACACAAAGGUCAGAGACAAGACAGAGACACUACCCUCAUUGAGAAGACAUACGUCUCCAUUCAUUAUUAUUUUUUUUUAAACUGUACUCUAAAUUUACAUGUUGGUAAAAAAAUACUAAUUUUUGACACAUAAUCCUAUCUCUCAGUCAGCAACAACAGAUGAUGAACAAGGAAAAUAACAGCAGAAAAGAAUGCAAAUACAAAUAUAAGUUAUUUAUAUUAAUUCAAAUAUAAUUUUUCAAAGUUUUUUAUUUUUUGUCUUUUUGAGAUAGUGUCUCCCUCUGUCACCCAAGCUGGAGUGCAGUGGCGCCAUCUGAGCUCAUUGCAGCCUCGACCCCUGGGGCUUAAACAAUUCUCCUGAGUAGCUGGGACUACAGGUGUGUGCCACCACACCACCUAAUUUUUUUUUAAUCUUUUGUAGAGAUGGGGUCUCACCAUGUCCAGCUGGAAGAUUUUUUUGACAAUGCAAAUUUAUACUAAUUGUUUAAAUACAGAAAGAUCCUGUGCACAUUUAGAGGCAUUUAUAUUUUGCCACUUGUGAUGGUUAACAGUGAGUGUCAACUUGAUUGGACUGAAGGAUGCAAAGUACUGAUCCUGGGUGUGUCUGUGAGGGUGUUGCCAAAGGAGACUAACAUUUGAGUCAGUGGACUGGGAAAAACAGACCCACCCUUAAUCUCAGUGGGCACCAUCUAAUCAGCUGCCAGUGCAGCCAAAAUAUAAAGUAGACAGAAAAACAUAAAGAGGCUAGAAUGGCUUAGCAUCUUUCUCCCGCACUGGAUGCUUCCUGCCCUCGCACAUCAGACUCCGGCUUUGGGACUCGAACUGCCUUCCUUGCUCCUCAGCUUGCAGACGGACUAUUGUGGGACCCUGUGAACGUAAUGAAGCUGGAGCCCAUCCGCAGGGAGUCCUCCCCGUGCUCUUGGUGGUGUGGACCAGCUUCCCACCAAGAUGGGAGCCAGAGGAGCCGCCUGGGUCCCAGCUGCCUCACCCCUUCUCCCUGUGUCCACUCUGAAACAGUGGGGACAAGGAGCCGUCUGAGAGAUGAAGCUGCAGUCCCCGUGACCCACCGCAUGUCCGGGACAGAUCAGACCCUCCAGGAAAUACCGCUGGUGAGAUGAGACUGUCUUCUGUCUGGGCAAGGGCUAAUUUGCAUUCAGUCGUGCCCCAGCCUUACUCCUAAAGACACCUGCUCUUUCUGCACAUCAAGGGAGGGCUGGUGCUGCAACUGAAUGGAAAAUACAAUUCAGAGCCAUCAAAAUAAAGGCCCGGUCACCUUAGAAAAUGGAAAUGUUCACACUGUUAAAUCCUUCAUGAUAACCCGAGGAGAAUGGAUAAGAUCAAUUACUGUUCCGGGUUUCUUCCAAAUCUGAAUUUCUGCAACAUGGUUUGAUCUCUAUGAAUGACUAACAUUUUCAUAUUAAAACUGAUAAAGAGUUGUACCUGCUACUUGAUAAAAACAUUUCUGGCAUCA